UUUCCGUAGGUGAACUUGCGGAA
rnacentral:rRNA from 1 species